rnacentral:sRNA from 1 species
GCUGGGUGUGGUGAUGCACACCUGUAAUCCCAGCGGCUUGGGAGGCUGAGACAGGAGGAUUGCAAGUUCAAAGCCAGCCUCACCAAAAGUGAGGUUCUAAGUAAUUCAGUGAGAUUCUGUAUCUA